UACGGAGGGUGCAAGCGUUGUUCGGAAUCACUGGGCGUAAAGGGCGUGUAGGCGGUCCGCUAAGUCUGAUGUGAAAGCCCGGGGCUCACCCCCGGAAGGGCAUUGGAAACUGGCGGACUCGAGUCUCGGAGAGGAAGGUGGAAUUCCUGGUGUAGCGGUGAAAUGCGUAGAUAUCAGGAGGAACACCGGUGGCGAAGGCGGCUACCUGGACAGAAACUGACGCU
rnacentral:rRNA from 1 species